UACGGAGGGUGCAAGCGUUGUUCGGAUUUAUUGGGCGUAAAGCGCGUGUAGGCGGUUUGGUAAGUCUGAUGUGAAAGCCCCGGGCUCAACCUGGGAAGUGCAUUGGAAACUGUCAGACUUGAAUACGGGAGAGGGUAGUGGAAUUCCUAGUGUAGGAGUGAAAUCCGUAGAUAUUAGGAGGAACACCGGUGGCGAAGGCGGCUACCUGGACCGAUAUUGACGAUGAGACGCGAAAGCGUGGGUAGCAAACAGG
rnacentral:rRNA from 1 species